rnacentral:rRNA from 1 species
GAUGAACGCUAGCUACAGGCUUAACACAUGCAAGUCGAGGGGAAACGAUAGAGAAAGCUUGCUUUUUCUAGGCGUCGACCGGCGCACGGGUGAGUAACGCGUAUCCAACCUGCCCACCACUUGGGGAUAACCUUGCGAAAGUAAGACUAAUACCCAAUGACGUCUCUAGAAGACAUCUGAAAGAGAUUAAAGAUUUAUCGGUGAUGGAUGGGGAUGCGUCUGAUUAGCUUGUUGGCGGGGUAACGGCCCACCAAGGCGACGAUCAGUAGGGGUUCUGAGAGGAAGGUCCCCCACAUUGGAACUGAGACACGGUCCAAAACUCCUACGGGAGGCAGCAGUGAGGAAUAUUGGUCAAUGGACGAGAGUCUGAACCAGCCAAGUAGCGUGCAGGAUGACGGCCCUANGGGUUGUAAACUGCUUUAUAAGGGAAUAAAGUGAGUCUCGUGAGACUUUUUGCAUGUACCGGGAGAAUAAGCAUCGGCUAAUUCCGUGCCAGCAGCC